AUCUGUGCAGGCAGUUUAGGACCUGCUGUGUUUUGGCGGAAAGGAAGAGAGACUGUGAUACUAGCAGUUCCUUUCAAGCUCCAGACUGUAGUCCCAAAGGGGGAGCCAUGAAGACACUGCCUGGGCCUUUGUUCCUGUUCUUGUGGCUGCAGCUAAACUGGGUGAAAGGGGGAAACCAGGUGGAGCAGAGUCCUCCUUCCUUGAGACCCUGGGAAGGAGACCGCACCUCCAUGAGCUGCACUUAUUCAGUCAGUGUUUUUAACGGUCUGCAGUGGUACAGACAGGACGCAGGCUCAGGUCUCCGACACCUCUUCUCCAUGUAUUCAGCUGGGGAUGUGCAGCAGAAGGGAAGACUCCGAGCCACGUUGCUGAAGGGUGGAAGCAGCUUGAACAUCACAGCCGUGCAGCAUGGAGACUCAGCCACCUACCUCUGUGCUGUAGUCACACAGUACUGCCUAGGCACCUGCGACCUGCACCCAAAUCUACAACUGAGCAGGCGUAGCUUGACAGAACCCUCUGCAGCAGGGCUUGGAGCCUGAGUCCUUGCGUGGAGUUAAGGGCUGGGUUGACCAGGGAGGUCAGGAGACAAGUGCUGCUGCUCAUUUGAGCUACAUUUUUCAUCUGGCCACCCUUCACAUUCUCCUGGGGCCUCUUCUGAGUACAUCAAUCCAAGUGCUACUUCUCUCCUACAAGAUCCAUCAGAGCCCCUGGUCAGUCUUUGAAUAUGGAGAGCAUGUUCUCUUUUGGGUCUGGUGGAAACAGAAAAAUUUACUAUUGUACUUCCACUUCUAGAAAUCUGACAAAAGAACUCUAAAUGGAAACAUAAAUCUGGACAGGUAUGUGUACCAGAAGGCAAGCAUUGUGGUUACCUUUCAGUAUGUAAAAUGUUCUAUAAUUGGAAUACACCUCCUUAUUAACAGUUUAUUAAUAAACUUAUCAAAGACCUA